rnacentral:rRNA from 1 species
GAGUUUGAUUGUGGCUCAGAGCGAACGCUGGCGGCAGGCCUAACACAUGCAAGUCGAACGAACCCUUCGGGGUUAGUGGCGGACGGGUGAGUAACACGUGGGAACGUGCCUUUAGGUUCGGAAUAACUCAGGGAAACUUGUGCUAAUACCGAAUGUGCCCUUCGGGGGAAAGAUUUAUUCGCCUUUAGAGCGGCCCGCGUCUGAUUAGCUAGUUGGUGAGGUAAAGGCUCACCAAGGCUACGAUCAGUAGCUGGUCUGAGAGGAUGACCAGCCACAUUGGGACUGAGACACGGCCCAAACUCCUACGGGAGGCAGCAGUGGGGAAUCUUGCGCAAUGGGCGAAAGCCUGACGCAGCCAUGCCGCGUGGAUGAUGAAGGUCUUAGGAUUGUAAAAUCCUUUCACCGGUGAAGAUAAUGACUGUAGCCGGAGAAGAAGCCCCGGCUAACUUCGUGCCAGCCGCCGCGGU